CCGUGCUAGACGGGGAGAUAGCGGUGCCCUGAACCUGCAAUCCGCUAUAGCAGGGUUGAACUCCUACCCCCGGUCCUUAGCCUUGCAGGGUUUGCCCCUGGUAAGUGGUGAGGAAGCCCUGGUCCUGUGCGGCGCAAGUCCAUGAACCCCGUCAGAUCCGGAAGGAAGCAGCGGUAAGUGGUGCCUUGCGGGUGCCAUGGGAGCGCUGGGGCAGAGCAAACUGCCAGGGUUCCGCCUGAGGGGCGGGAUCAAAGGUAGGUGCACGG
rnacentral:SRP_RNA from 1 species